rnacentral:misc_RNA from 1 species
AAGCAUAAACCUGAAAGGAGACAAGAUCACUUCAAAAAGUCAGUGAUGAUAAUCCUACUUCUGCAAAUAUCUAAAAAUUACAUGUCUGAAGCAAAAAAAUUCCUUUUCAUCCUAUCCUUUUUCCCCUUUCUGUGCAACUAAUUUCCCAGCAAACUCACCAGCAUUAGGAACCGAAAACAUACCUCAUUUGUUUCUGAACCA